rnacentral:rRNA from 1 species
ACAGCUAUAAUUUACUUGAUCUUGACACUAUCCUACUUGGAUAACUGUGGUAAUUCUAGAGCUAAUACAUGCAUUAAAGCUCUGACCUCACGGGAAGAGUGCAUUUAUUAGAACAAAACCAAGCGGCUUCGGCUGUUCUGGUUGACUCAUAGUAACUGAGCUGAUCGCAUGGUCUUGUACCGGCGACGUGUCUUUCAAGUAUCUGCCGUAUCAACUUUCGAUGGUAGUGUAUCUGACUACCAUGGUGAUCACGCGUAACGGAGAAUAAGGGUUCGGCUCCGGAGAGUUCGCCUGAGAAAUCGCGAACACAUCUAAGGAAGGCAGCAGGCGCGAAAAUUACCCACUCUCAGCACGAGGAGGUAGUGACGAAAAAUAACGAGACCGUUCUCUUUGAGGCCGGUCAUCGGAAUGGGUACAAUUUAAACCCUUUAACGAGUAUCUAUGAGAGGGCAAGUCUGGUGCCAGCAGCCGCGGUAAUUCCAGCUCUCAAAGUGCAUAGAAUUAUUGCUGCGGUUAAAAAGCUCGUAGUUGGAUCUGUGCCAUAGGACUGGGUCCACUUUCGGGUGCGUACUCAGCUCCUAGGCUUUUUGAUGGUUUUCCCGUCGUAGCCUUCACUGGUUGCGGCGGGUGGCUGUCGAGUUUACUUUGAGAAAAUCAGAGUGCUCAACACAGGCGUAUCGCUUGAAUGAUUGUGCAUGGAAUAAUAGAAAAGGAUUUCGGUCCUCUUUUAUUGGUUUUGUGGACUGAGAUAAUGGUUAACAGGGACAAACGGGGGCAUUCGUAUCGCUGCGUGAGAGGUGAAAUUCUUGGACCGUAGCGAGACGCCCUACUGCGAAAGCAUUUGCCAAGAAUGUCUUCAUUAAUCAAGAACGAAAGUCAGAG